rnacentral:rRNA from 1 species
AUGAACCCUACCUCGGCUCCGGGUCCGGAUGGCUUGCCGGUUAAGUUCUUCCAGGCCUUCUGGAAUGUGAUCAAGCCGGAGGUCAUGGCCAUCUUUGAGGAGUUCUAUAUUGGGUCCAUUGAUCUCGGGCGCCUCAACUACGGGACGAUCUCUCUUAUCCCCAAGGUCCCGGGUGCUGCUGAUAUCCGUCAGUUUCGCCCGAUUACGGUGAUAAACAUGAUCUUCCGUAUUCUGGCAAAAAGGUACGCCAAUAGGGUGACCCUUCUCGCGGAUCACAUUACCUACCCCAACCAGACGGCCUUCAUCCAAGGCCGAUAUAUUCUGGAUGGGGUGCUAGUCCUCCAGGAAGUUCUCCAUGAGGUCCGGUCCAAACACCUUAAGGCUGUCUUCUUGAAGAUCGAUUUCCAUAAGGCCUACGACACUGUUAGCUGGCCCUUCCUUCGGGAAGUCAUCCUUCGGAAAGGAUUUGAUGACCGGUGGAUCGCUCGGGUU